GACGAACGCUGGCGGCGUGCUUAACACAUGCAAGUCGAACGGAAAGGCCCUGCUUUUGUGGGGUGCUCGAGUGGCGAAAGGGUGAGUAACACGUGAGUAACCUGCCCUUGACUUUGGGAUAACUUCAGGAAACUGGGGCUAAUACCGGAUAGGAGCUCCUGCUGCAUGGUGGGGGUUGGAAAGUUUCGGCGGUUGGGGAUGGACUCGCGGCUUAUCAGCUUGUUGGUGGGGUAGUGGCUUACCAAGGCUUUGACGGGUAGCGGGCCUGAGAGGGUGACCGGCCACAUUGGGACUGAGAUACGGCCCAGACUCCUACGGGAGGCAGCAGGGGGGAAUAUUGCGCAAUGGGCGGAAGCCUGAUGCAGCAACGCCGCGUGCGGGAUGACGGCCUUCGGGUUGUAAACCGCUUUCGCCUGUGACGAAGCGUGAGUGACGGUAAUGGGUAAAGAAGCACCGGCUAACUACGUG
rnacentral:rRNA from 1 species